rnacentral:lncRNA from 1 species
UUUGAGAGGCAAUCGGUGUUCCACAAUGUCCGUGUCGAGCCCUGGCAUGUCCUGAUAAGACCAAGCGAAGAUGUCGACGUACUCUUGCAACAGUUCAAUCAACCCCUUCUUCACAUCAUCUUCCAAAGUAACCCCUAUCUUGAUUUCUCUCUUGACGUCCUCGGUGCCAAGAUUAAUCACUUCAGUAGACUCUUGAUGCGGUUGAAUGACCCUUUC